rnacentral:sRNA from 1 species
GCAAUCGAAGGCUUGCAAGGGCGGUCGGCUAAUCUCCCCGAGGGGGGUGAGGCCAAUGGAGGUGUAUCAAGCGUUGUCUUUGAUCUUCAUGUUCGGCAUGUUCAUUAUUGCAUUGCUGAAUUACCUCAAAAAGAAAUAGACCGCCCUCGCCAAAGGAUGCGGUCUAUUUCUGCCCGUAAUACCUAAAGCCGCCGCCCUUAAAAGCGGCUAUUGCUCAGGGAGUCGUGUUGAAGCACCGCUC